UCACUCUCUUCUUUCA
rnacentral:sRNA from 1 species